rnacentral:tRNA from 1 species
AGACCUGGGAUGCCUGGUGUCGAUCGUGAACGCACUGGACCAACUUACGAAGGCGCCGAAUAAGACCACGCCAAGCAAAUGACUGCUAAUCCAACGGUCGCAGGUUCGAAUCCUGCCGGGUGUGCCA